rnacentral:lncRNA from 1 species
GGGCAGUGAAGGUGUCGGGAGCCAGCAGAGCAUGUUCCAGGGUCACCCCCGAGAGGACAACAGGCAUCUGGAAGUGCUCUCUCGCCACUCUGGGUGCUUUACUGUCUCUGGCUUGUUUCCAUCACUGGAAAUCACUUAGAGAAUUGUAGUGUUUUUGGUCCUUGAUAAAGCCUAGAAGACAUUUGUGAUGUUACAAAAUGGAAGUUUUCUUUUGUUUCUGUUUUUUAAGAUCUAAGAAGUUGUGAAUGUUGUUAAUCAUUUAGCCGUUGCAAUAAAUGUAGAGGAAAUG